rnacentral:rRNA from 1 species
GUUGAACGCUGGCGGCAUGCCUUACACAUGCAAGUCGAACGGCAGCACGGGUGCUUGCACCUGGUGGCGAGUGGCGAACGGGUGAGUAAUACAUCGGAGCGUACCUUAUCGUGGGGGAUAACGCAGCGAAGGCUGUGCUAAUACCGCAUACGCCCUGAGGGGGAAAGCGGGGGAUCGAAAGACCUCGCGCGACUAGAGCGGCCGAUGCCUGAUUAGCUUGUUGGUGGGGUAAAAGCCCACCAAGGCGACGAUCAGUAGCUGGUCUGAGAGGACGAUCAGCCACACUGGGACUGAGACACGGCCCAGACUCCUACGGGAGGCAGCAGUGGGGAAUUUUGGACAAUGGGGGCAACCCUGAUCCAGCAAUGCCGCGUGAGUGAAGAAGGCCUUCGGGUUGUAAAGCUCUUUUGUCAGGGAAGAAACACCGGCUCUAACACAGUCCGGGAAUGACGGUACCUGAAGAAUAAGCACCGGCUAACUACGUGCCAGCCGCCGCGGUAA